ACUCGAGACUGUGUAGAACCUUCAUAGGC
rnacentral:piRNA from 1 species